rnacentral:rRNA from 1 species
AUUGAACGCUGGUGGAAUGCUUUACACAUGCAAGUCAAGCUGCAGCACGGGGGCAACCCUGGUGGCGAGCGGCGAACGGGUGAGCAAUACAUCGGAACAUGCCCAGUCGUGGGGUAUAACACUUCGAAAGAAGUGCUAAUACCGCAUACGUCCUGAGGGAGAAAGCGGGGGAUCUUCGGACCUCGCGCGAUUGGAGUGGCCGAUGUCAGAUUAGCUAGUUGGUGGGGUAAAGGCCUACCAAGGCAACGAUCUGUAGCUGGUCUGAGAGGAUGAUCAGCCACACUGGGACUGAGACACGGCCCAGACUCCUACGGGAGGCGGCAGUGGGGAAUUUUGGACAAUGGGGGCAAACCUGAUCCAGCCAUUACGCGUGAGUGAAGAAGGCCUUCGGGUUGUAAAGCUCUUUCGGCAGGAACGAAACGGCGAGCUCUAACAUAGCUUGCUAAUGACGGUAACUGAAGAAGAAGCACCGGCUAACUACGUGCCAGCAGCCGCGGUAAGAC